CCUACGGGAGGCAGCAGUGAGGAAUAUUGGUCACUGGUCGGGAGACUGAACCAGCCAAGCCGCGUGAGGGAUGAAGGUACAGAGUAUCGUAAACCUCUUUUGUCAGGGAACAAAGGCGGGGACGUGUCCCCUGAUGAGUGUACCUGAAGAAAAAGCAUCGGCUAACUCCGUGCCAGCAGCCGCGGUAAUACGGAGGCUGCGAGCGUUAUCCGGAUUUAUUGGGUUUAAAGGGUGCGCAGGCGGUCUGUUAAGUCAGCGGUCAAAGCCCGGGGCUCAACCCCGGCCCGCCGUUGAAACUGGCAGUCUCGAGUUGGAGAGAAGUAUGCGGAAUGCGCGGUGUAGCGGUGAAAUGCAUAGAUAUCGCGCAGAACUCCGAUUGCGAAGGCAGCAUGCCGGCUCCACACUGACGCUGAGGCACGAAAGCGUGGGUAUCGAACAGGAUUAGAUACCCGGGUAGUC
rnacentral:rRNA from 1 species